rnacentral:piRNA from 1 species
AGAUUUUCAACUCAAAGGACCGGCAAA